rnacentral:lncRNA from 1 species
AAUACAAAACGUCAGGUCACAUACUCCUUAACACUUCCUCUUACUCUGUCACAACUUCCUGUGGCACUGCUCUUCCUCGACAGACAGACAGACAGUCAGAGGCUUAAAUACCGUGGUAAGGCUUCAUUACACAGUAGUCGUAUUUUAUUGCCGUGUGCUACCUGCCACAGCCAGAUCAGCCAGCCACUAUAAAGAGUUGAUUAGGACAUAACAGUCUGAAGGCUGGUGAAUAGAUAUCCCGUUUUAAACGGCUGCUCUUGCCCUAUAUAAGGGGUCUGUUGGUUUAUUAUUAAGGUCAGUUUCCCAUUCAGUUGGCAGCAUAUUACACACUACAGUACAAAGAAAAGGCAAUAUUUUUUUAGAGAUGAAACCUGCCAGUUUAUUGUUAUGUGUAGUUAUAGUUAUAUUAAUAUUAGAUUAUUUAUAAAUGAAUCCCUAUAUCCUGGAUUGACUGAGGAGAAUUGAUGACUUGAUAAUGACUUGACGAUGACUUGAUUACGAUGUGAUAAUGACUUGAUAAUGACUCAAUGAUGACGCGAUGAUGACUCGAUAAUGACGUGCCAAUGUAUUGAUAAUGACUUGAUAAUGACUCAACAAUGACUUGAUGAUGACUCGAUAAUGGCUUGAUGACUUGACGAUGACUCGAUUAUGAUGUGAUAAUGACUUGAUGAUGACUCGAUAAUGGCUUGAUGACUUGACGAUGACUCGAUUAUGAUGUGAUAAUGACUUGAUAAUGACUCGAUUAUGAUGUGAUAAUGACUUGAUGAUGACUCGAUAAUGGCUUGAUAAUGACUUGAUAAUGACUCAACAAUGACUUGAUGAUGACUCGAUAAUGGCUUGAUAAUGAAUUGACGAUGACUUGACGACGACUCGAUAAUGCCGCGACAAUGGCGUGAUAAUGACACGAUAAUGGCUUGACGAUGACGACAUAGAAACAUAAUAAUGUGCUAGACUAAGACAAGGGCAUUGAAAGUCACUGUAGCUGCUUGGUGAUGUGCACAAGUGGAAUGACACAUUUUAGAUGGCUGAUAUUUAUAGACAAAUGAAUAUUAACUAUUAUAAUAUUAUGUGAUUUUUGUUUUAGUUUUUCCCUUUUUAUUUGGUACUUUUUAUGUGUGCAUGUUCAUUCAGUGAAAUAACACACUGGGUACAGGAUGUCAAUUCAACGUCUAUUCAAAUCAAAUUGUAUUGGGUCGCAUACACAUAUUUAGCAGAUGUUAUUUUGGGUGUAGCGAAAUGCUUGUGUUCGGAGCUCCAACAGUGCAGUAGCAUCUAACAAUACACAACAAACCAAUAUGUACACAGUGGGAAAUGAUAAUACCAUGGCUAGUACCGCCCAUUGGACAACCAAGGAGCAGAGGGGUCAGAGAGAGAGAGAGAGAGAGAGAGAAAGAGAAGGGACUGUGACCUAAAGACAUCAUUGUUUCUAGUCAUUUAUACUUAUUGACUAUUCAGCCCUGAUCACAAUGUACAGAUUAUUCCACUUUUUGAUUUCUGUAAGCGUCCUCCACCCUGCCUCCAAUUACUAUCUCUUGUAUCUACCUAAGUGAACUGAUCUGCCUUGUUACAACACUGCUGGUGCUUCACAGUCCCAGAUCCUGGAUCAGAUGCUGCUGCUCAUCUCACUCCUUGCUUCUUUCAGCUUGUUGUCCAGGUGUUGUGUUGUGGAUGUCUCUCUCUCUCUCUGUCUCUCUCUCGCUCUCUCUCUCUCUCUCUCUGCAUACAGUAGACCUACACUCUUUUGUUUGGGAUAGUUUUCUCAUGUCCUCCUGUUGUCAUGUCCUCCUGUUGUCAUGUUGUCAUGUUGUCAUGUUCUCCUGUUGUCAUGUUCUCCUGUUGUCAUGUCCUCCUGUUGUCAUGUUGUCAUGUUGUCAUGUCCUCCUGCUGUCAUGUUCUCCUGUUGUCAUGUCCUCCUGUUGUCAUGUCCUCAUGUCCUCUUGUUGUCAUGUCCUCAUGUCCUCUUGUUGUCAUGUUCUCCUGUUGUCAUGUCCUCAUGUCCUCCUGUUGUCAUGUCCUCAUGUCCUCCUGUUGUCAUGUCCUCAUGUCCUCCUGUUGUCAUGUCCUCAUGUCCUCCUGUUGUCAUGUUCUCCUGUUGUCAUGUCCUCCUGUUGUCAUGUCCUCCUGUUCUCAUGUUCUCAUGUUCUCCUGUUGUCAUGUUCUCAUGUUCUCAUGUUCUCCUGUUGUCAUGUUCUCAUGUUCUCAUGUUCUCCUGUUGUCAUGUUGUCAUGUUGUCAUGUCCUCCUGUUGUCAUGUUCUCCUGUUGUCAUGUUCUCCUGUUGUCAUGUUGUCAUGUUCUCCUGUUCUCAUGUUCUCCUGUUGUCAUGUUGUCAUGUUCUCCUGUUGUCAUGUUCUCCUGUUGUCAUGUCCUCCUGUUGUCAUGUUCUCCUGUUGUCAUGUUCUCCUGUUGUCAUGUUGUCAUGUUCUCCUGUUGUCAUGUUCUCCUGUUGUCAUGUUGUCAUGUCCUCCUGUUGUCAUGUUGUCAUGUUGUCAUGUUGUCAUGUCCUCCUGCUGUCAUGUUCUCCUGUUGUCAUGUCCUCAUGUCCUCCUGCUGUCAUGUCCUCCUGUUGUCAUGUCCUCAUGUCCUCCUGCUGUCAUGUUCUCCUGUUGUCAUGUCCUCAUGUCCUCCUGCUGUCAUGUCCUCCUGUUGUCAUGUCCUCAUGUCCUCCUGCUGUCAUGUCCUCCUGUUGUCAUGUCCUCAUGUCCUCCUGUUGUCAUGUUCUCCUGU